rnacentral:lncRNA from 1 species
UCAGUUCCCUAUAUAUUCAGAGUUCGACGCAAAAUAGUGAGACAAUUUUGUCUUGGAGCUCGAAUCAAUUGGUUUUAUAAGCAAUAAACAGUUAGUGGAUUGCGUGGCACAUCCUGCGAGUAAUUGACUUUAGUUGGAAAAAUGAUUCAGAAGACCAUUAACUUUACGACGUCCAUUCCGGAACAAAUUAACAUAUGGGCAAGGUCCUUAUUACAUAUCUGAUGUUUACCUUCUGUGCCUUAAUACACUUUCAACAUUUCUUGGAAUAAAUCAAUGACCAACAAUUGAAAAGACCUACUCUAAGACUUGACAAGACUAACUACAGCAGUUUUACUUGAAAAUUCCGGAUGACACCAUGAAGGCCCAUUAAUGAAAGAUGUACGUGGUAUUUUAGGUCUGGAAGUAGUUUAAGUAGAUCAAGUAGGAAUUGCAUUAUGAUAUUUAAGAAAAAACACAAAAUACUAUAUAAAAAUCGGGGUUCUUUAAGUAUUAUCCAGCCCGGUAGACUUCAUUUGAAAAUUGGAAAAAGUUACGAUGAAAGGAAUCAAAUUUAUGACGCUAUUCUCCUCAAUAACCUACACUUUUUUAGACUACAUUUUUAAAUACUAGAAGAGAUAUGUUUGCAAUCUCUCAAAACCAGCGAUAUACAUAUAUAUUUCGAGUUCAAUAGACCAAUGUUAAAAACAGUAAUAAGAGACAAUUAGCAGAGUAUAGAGAUCAACAGCUGACAAAAAGUAAAUGGUUGUUGUUGUGGGGAUACGAUUAUGAUAAACAAAGAAUGAACUACGCCUGAACAUUUGUAUUGUAGAGGGGAACAUAUUAAAAUAGCCAAAAACCUUUAUACAAACAAAUAAACUGUUUUUUCCCCGAUAUAAUUAUGUCUCUUAUUUUAAACAACUUUGUGCCA